CACGUAGGGGGCAAGCGUUGUUCGGAAUUAUUGGGCGUAAAGGGCAUGUAGGCGGUUGGGAAAGCCCGACGUGAAAUCCUGCAGCUUAACUGUAGAAUUGCGUUGGGAACUAUCCGACUAGAAUCGUGGAGGGGGAGCUAGAAUUCCAGGUGUAGGGGUGAAAUCUGUAGAUAUCUGGAAGAAUACCGGUGGCGAAGGCGAGCUCCUGGCCAAUGAUUGACGCUGAGGUGCGAAAGCGUGGGGAU
rnacentral:rRNA from 1 species